rnacentral:rRNA from 1 species
AACGAACGCUGGCGGCAUGCCUAACACAUGCAAGUCGAACGGGAUCCUAGCUUGCUAGGUGAGAGUGGCGGACGGGUGAGUAACACGUGGGAAUCUGCCUUUUGGUUCGGGAUAACCGCGGGAAACUGCGGCUAAUACCGAAUGCCCUCGAGAGAGGAAAGAUUUAUCGCCAGAAGAGUAGCCCGCGUCCGAUUAGGUAGUUGGUGGGGUAAAGGCCUACCAAGCCGACGAUCGGUAGCUGGUCUGAGAGGAUGAUCAGCCACACUGGGACUGAGAUACGGCCCAGACUCCUACGGGAGGCAGCAGUGGGGAAUAUUGGACAAUGGGGGCAACCCUGAUCCAGCAAUGCCGCGUGAGUGAUGAAGGCCUUAGGGUUGUAAAGCUCUUUUGCCAGGGAAGAUGAUGACUGUACCUGGAGAAUAAAGCCCCGGCUAACUUCGUGCCAGCAGCCGCGGUAAU